rnacentral:rRNA from 1 species
GAUGAACGCUGGCGGCGUGCUUAACACAUGCAAGUCGAACGGAAAGGCCCAAGCUUGCUUGGGUACUCGAGUGGCGAACGGGUGAGUAACACGUGGGUGAUCUGCCCUGCACUUCGGGAUAAGCCUGGGAAACUGGGUCUAAUACCGGAUAGGACCACAUUUUGGAUGGUGUGGUGGAAAGUUUUUCGGUGUGGGAUGAGCUCGCGGCCUAUCAGCUUGUUGGUGGGGUAAUGGCCUACCAAGGCGUCGACGGGUAGCCGGCCUGAGAGGGUGCACGGCCACAUUGGGACUGAGAUACGGCCCAGACUCCUACGGGAGGCAGCAGUGGGGAAUAUUGCACAAUGGGCGCAAGCCUGAUGCAGCGACGCCGCGUGGGGGAUGACGGCCUUCGGGUUGUAAACUCCUUUCGCUAGGGACGAAGCGUUAUGUGACGGUACCUGGAGAAGAAGCACCGGCUAACUACGUG